CAUGAAUGUGACCUACCGAAUUAGACUAUUUACCGGAUUUAUAACAUAAGCAACACGACUACUGCCACACGUGGAGCAGGAUCUGCCAACCCUUCCGGAGCACCUGAGAUCACACCUAGUUUUUGGUGUGAUUCGUGCUGCUUAUUCUUUGGUUUUCUAUGUUGUGUAAUGUGUACUAUUGUUUGUUUGUUUGUCUUUUUAAUCUAAGCCAUGGCGUUGUCAGAUUAUUUUCGAUUUAUGAGUUUGACUGUCCCUCUGGUAUCUUUCGUCCCUCUUUUAUAAAGACG
rnacentral:lncRNA from 1 species